GUCAGCACAGGAGCUGCUGUGAUAUAAAAGGAGAGAGUCACCUGGCGCCCCCUGCAGUCCUCCAGUUGCCCAGCAGCGGUGGGACGCUCAGUGGCACACACUGGGUCUCUGUAUGGCCUCCCACCUGCAAGGACUUCCCCGGGCAGGCCCAGCUGCCCAGAAGCCCCGGAACACACAGGAAGACAACACUAUAGGAUGGCAGGUGGGGAUCUGUGCAAUACAAACAUGUAGCUAGAAAACCCAACUGAGGAUCUGUCUAGAAUACUUCCGAUAUCAAUAUACCGUAGUUGCUGAGGCUGGCACAGAUACACACAAGGGAGUCACACACAUAACAUAAGAACUUGUUAUAUAAAAUAGAUAUGUGGAAUCUAGAAACACCUUGAGAAAAUAGCCUAUAAAAAUAUAAACUGUAGUGAGAGUGUACAAAAGUAUUAACAGAGGUUCAACCCAUAAAAAACCCCAUCCAUUUAAAAGCUGGCAAUUCGCAGCAGAUGUGGGGAGGGAGCUCCCCUCGGUCCUGGUGCGCGCAUUUGGACAGGCCUUUGGGUUUCCCAGCUGGCAGGGUCCCCCUUGCAGGGGCCACGGGCUGGGUGUUGGGGUGAAGGUUCAGAGGAGGAACAGCAGCUUGGGGCAGCCCCUGUCAGAAGGGCCCCCUGCCAUGGCAGCCAGUGGAGGCCAGGGACCUUCAGGGCACUGGAGGGGACAGAGCAGCUCUUUCCUCAGUGACCCGAGGGAGGGGAAGUGUUAGCGCAAAAGAGUGGGGCCCACAGUCCUGGAAGGAGGAGUUGGCUCCGUCCCGUUCCCAAACUUUAACCAGGCGGAGCCGCCCUCUCUUGCCUUCUGGACACGCAUCACUUGAUUCCAGGCAGGAGAACCUCUGAGAAAGUGUCCCCAGUCCCUUUCCUCCAGGAACUCUCCUGCUGUCGCACACACACACUACCCGGCAGCUGCUGACAACUGCCUGGAAACACUAACAUACCACCGUGGGUUGCAGCCACGACGGGCCCCUGGUCAGGUGCAUCUCUCAGGGCAAACUGGACAACACGAGCCUGUCCCUAAAGGCAGCUCUUAGCCCCAGGACAUGGCAGUGUGUGCUGGCAUGUUCCAGGGGCCAUUGGCUUGGAAAGUAAAACCUAAGGGCAGCUGGUGCUGGCCCACGGGCCCAGCCCCAUUCCUGCUGCACCUCCUCAGCAGCCACCCCCCAGGCUGACAGCUGUCGUUUCACGAUGGGCUGAGGGGUGGGGUGGGGGGUUUCCAACACUUGAUUCGAGCGGACUGCAACGCCCAGCUCACAGGACAACUGAAGGAGUCAGACCUCAAAUUGCUGUUCUCAAAGACAAUGACAACACCCAUUUUUGAUGCCUGAAAAGAGGCAAAGGCUUCUGGCUAAAUAUAGAGGCCAGCUCCGUCUACCCAGUGAAACAUUAACCAACUCCGCUAAAGACACGAAGCCGGAGCUCACUCUAGCAUGUGCUGAAACACCAACUUUGCCGUGGCAUUGC
rnacentral:lncRNA from 1 species